GCCAUGCCGCGUGUGUGAAGAAGGCCCUCGGGUUGUAAAGCACUUUCAGUGAGGAAGAACGCCUGGUGGUUAAUACCCAUCAGGAAAGACAUCACUCACAGAAGAAGCACCGGCUAACUCCGUGCCAGCAGCCGCGGUAAUACGGAGGGUGCGAGCGUUAAUCGGAAUUACUGGGCGUAAAGCGCGCGUAGGUGGCUUGAUAAGCCGGUUGUGAAAGCCCCGGGCUCAACCUGGGAACGGCAUCCGGAACUGUCAAGCUAGAGUGCAGGAGAGGAAGGUAGAAUUCCCGGUGUAGCGGUGAAAUGCGUAGAGAUCGGGAGGAAUACCAGUGGCGAAGGCGGCCUUCUGGACUGACACUGACACUGAGGUGCGAAAGCGUGGGUAGCAAACAGGAUUAGAUACCCUGGUAGUCCACGCCGUAAACGAUGUCGACCAGCCGUUGGGUGCCUAGCGCACUUUGUGGCGAAGUUAACGCGAUAAGUCGACCGCCUGGGGAGUACGGCCGCAAGGUUAAAACUCAAAUGAAUUGACGGGGGCCCGCACAAGCGGUGGAGCAUGUGGUUUAAUUCGA
rnacentral:rRNA from 1 species